UCUAACUCUCACCUAGUGAGAGAAGCUCUCGCCUCUCUCCUCUCUCCCUCCGCCGGCUUCUGGAUUGAGCGGCCGGAGAUGAUGAAGUUCGGCCGGAAUCUUCAUAGAUCCGCCGGAAACUUCAUCUUCUCCGGCGAGAUCUCCAGGUUCCGGUAACCUAGAUCCUCACCAGAAAAACACAAAUCAAGCAUCAAUCUCUUCGUUUUCUUGUUCUAAGCACGAAUCU
rnacentral:lncRNA from 1 species